GACGAACGCUGGCGGCGUGCUUAACACAUGCAAGUCGAACGGAAAGGCCCUGCUUUUGUGGGGUGCUCGAGUGGCGAACGGGUGAGUAACACGUGAGUAACCUGCCCUUGACUUUGGGAUAACUUCAGGAAACUGGGGCUAAUACCGGAUAGGAGCUCCUGCUGCAUGGUGGGGGUUGGAAAGAUUCGGCGGUUGGGGAUGGACUCGGGGCUUAUCAGCUUGUUGGUGGGGUAGUGGCUUACCAAGGCUUUGACGGGUAGCCGGCCUGAGAGGGUGACCGGCCACAUUGGGACUGAGAUACGGCCCAGACUCCUACGGGAGGCAGCAGUGGGGAAUAUUGCACAAUGGGCGGAAGCCUGAUGCAGCAACGCCGCGUGCGGGAUGACGGCCUUCGGGUUGUAAACCGCUUUCGCCUGUGACGAAGCGUGAGUGACGGUAAUGGGUAAAGAAGCACCGGCUAACUACGUG
rnacentral:rRNA from 1 species